AGGUUGAUCUAGCGUGGGGCUUCUCCUAUCGACUUCUAGCAAGUGUUGGACGAGCUUUUGGGGUGGGUUAAUGCUUACCGAAAUCGUCGGAAUUCCUCCUAAGUCGUAGAAAUUUCAGCAUGUAUUUUCUUGUCAUGAUCAUCAUGUUGGUAGCUCGAAUUCGUGGAUUUGCAUGUUUUAUAUGAAAUCUGAAUUUGGAGCAUAAUUUAAUGAUUUUAGAUGAAAUUUUAUAUGCUGAACUGUGAUUUGACUUAGGAGAGAACUUGUUAAACCUACACUUGACACUUUUUGAAAAGUUAACAGAAUUAGCUUCAGGGGCUGUUUUUCUGUUGUAUCACCGCUGGUAAUGCGCUGUGGAUACUUAGAUUAGUGUAGGUUGACAUUACUG
rnacentral:lncRNA from 1 species